rnacentral:rRNA from 1 species
AGUGAACGCUGGCGGUAGGCCUAACACAUGCAAGUCGAACGGCAGCACAGUAAGAGCUUGCUCUUACGGGUGGCGAGUGGCGGACGGGUGAGGAAUACAUCGGAAUCUACUUUUUCGGGGGGGAUAACGUAGGGAAACUUACGCUAAGACCGCAUACGACCUACGGGGGAAAGCAGGGGAUCUUCGGACCUUGCGCGAUUGAAUGAGCCGAUGUCGGAUUAGCUAGUUGGCGGGGUAAAGGCCCACCAAGGCGACGAUCCGUAGCUGGUCUGAGAGGAUGAUCAGCCACACUGGAACUGAGACACGGUCCAGACUCCUACGGGAGGCAGCAGUGGGGAAUAUUGGGCAAUGGGCGCAAGCCUGAUCCAGCCAUACCGCGUGGGUGAAGAAGGCCUUCGGGUUGUAAAGCCCUUUUGUUGGGAAAGAAAAGCAGCAGGUUAAUACCCCGCUGUUCUGACGGUACCCAAAGAAUAAGCACCGGCUAACUUCGUG